GACGAACGCUGGCGGCGUGCUUAACACAUGCAAGUCGAACGGAAAGGCCCUGCUUUUGUGGGUUGCUCGAUUGGCGAGCGGGUGAGUGACACGUGAGUAACCUGCCCUUAACUUUGGGAUAACUUCAGGGAACUGGGGCUAAUACCGGGUAGGAUCUCCUGAUGCGUGGUGUGGGUUGGAAAGUUUCGGCGGUUGGGGAUGGACUCGCGGCUUAUCAGCUGGUUGGUGGGGUAGGGGCUUACCAGGGCUUUGACGGGUAGCCGGCCUGGGAGGGUGAACGGGCACAAUGGGCCUGAGAGAGGCCCCAGACUGCAACCGGCGGCAGUAGGGGGGAACAUUGCACAACGGGCGGACGUCAGAUGUAGAAAUCUUGCGUGCGGGAUGCUGGCCUUCGGGUUGUAAACAGCUGUCGCAGGUGAUGAAGCGUGAGUGACGGUAACGGGUAAAGAAGCACCGGCUAACUACGUG
rnacentral:rRNA from 1 species